ensembl:lncRNA
GAAGUGGAUAAAUCAGUUGUGCUCGAUUGCACCAUGGAGUUCCAAUAGCGCUUACCAUCAUGAAUGCACCCAAUUAAGUUCAGUGAUUUUGCUAGUUGCUAAGCUGUUACUUCUGUUCCAGUUCCCCACCACACACGCGCGCACACAUACACACAGCAUUGUGAUGCUGGUCCUGCCAGUGUCCCCAGACCCCAGCCAGCAGCGUGGCAACCCUUGGUACCAAUCUUGUGCUGUUCUGGCUGUUGUGAAUGUUCUCGUGCUCCCAGAACCAACUCCUUGAGUCCUCCUGCAGAGCCAGCACUGCUGGCCGGUGCCCCUCCCUGGGCAGCCCAGGCCUUUCCUUCAAGCUUCUGGACCCUAACACCCUGCCCCUCUUCUCUGUGUGCCCCUGCCUCAGGGAGGGAGCUCUUCCUGCAAGUGCUUGCUCUGUGGGACCUCAGUUCCUGUGGCCGUUCGACUCUAACACCUGUUUACAUGUGUCCUUGUAUUAUGUUUUCUCUCGAUAGAUUUAAAGUGGCUCCUGACUGAUAAAAUGACCGUAUGCCAGGAACUAUAGACACAGAAGACAAACUUAGAUAAUAUUCACACUAGAUUAUUUACACACAGGAUAUAAGUUCAUGUAUACAUACAAGUACAUAUUACAUAUUUUUACAUAUACUACAUUUAUACCUGUCCAUACACCUAUGUAUAUAAAAUGUCAUCUAACCCUCCCACCAUGAGAGACAGAAGAAACUUGAGUCUCAGAGAACUUAGAGAAGUCCCACAGUAUUACUCAGCAAAAGUGAGGAAGCUGGGGUUGUAAUCCACAAUCACUGACACCACAACCCAUCUUUUUCCCACUCUGCCCAAGUCAGUCUAUCCUUCCUAGUGUUUCAUGGUUCAAUCCCUAGGCUGGUCUGCACGUUUCUUCAUGUCAUAAUAUAAAUAAGCUUUAACUACUCUAAUAACACUAAGACUGUCACUGCUGUAUAUAGCAGUCUGUGCUAUACCAGAGUUAGAAGUUUGAGAAAACAGGAAAACAUGUGUGCAUGCUCAGUCACUUCAGCCAUGUCUGACUGACUUUGCGACCCCAAGGACUAUAUCCCGCCAGGCUCUGUCCAUAGGAUUUCCCAGGCAAGAAUACUAGAGAGGGUUACCAUACCUUCCUCCAUUGGAUCUUCCCCACCCAAGGAUAGAACCUUUGUCUCCGUGGACACCACUAAUUCCAGGUUACUUGUCUUUCAAAUAUUCAGUCAAUAUGAUUCAGUGCCUCUUCUGUGCCUGCUAUGUGCUGGGUUCACUUGGAAGCAAAAGAAACCUAGUCCCGCCUUCAGAAAGUUCAUAGUUGAAUGCGGGGCUCCUUGGCACAAGGCCUUUGUGUCGCCCACCCCUUUGAUUAUUCCUGUAAUCAAGGAGCCUUCAUUCAGCUUCCAUGCCCUUUCCUGAGUUCCAAGGGGCAGACUUAAGCAGUUGUUCAUUAGGGAAGGAAGGGGAUACAGAGACCAGGCAGAAACAGUCAAGAGCAGCCUUGAGGCAAGGUCCUAUUUCCCCAUGAACAGAUAACAUGCAACAGCAUCUUUGAGCUAUUCUGCAGCUACUGAACCCACUCCAGUGUUCUUGCCUGGAGAAUCCCAGGGACAGGGGAGCCNNNNNNNNNNNNNNNNNNNNNNNCGCAUAGAGUCGGACAUGACUGAAGCGACUUAGCAGCAGCAGCAGCAGCUACUGAAACCCACUCCAGGUGGGAGAAGUUAACAAUUAACCAUGGUAUGCUGCUCACAUAAAUCCCAGACCAUCUGGACUUGAAGGCUGAUCCAUCAGAAGACAGUCCACAAGCUGAUCAUGCCCUCUUUGAAAAACUGCCAUAAGACCUCUCUCUAUCUUCUCCAAGUUGGGACAUAUGGUUUUGAGGGCAGGAGUCUGCUGUGGCCCUCUUUGCUUGGCAAAGCAAUAAAGCCCUUCUUUUCUACUUCAUCCAAAACUCUGUCUGAGAUUCCAUUUGGCACUAGUAUACAGAGAAGCUGAGCUUUCAGCAUCAGCAGACUGGGGAAACUCUAAAUAAUCCUACAGAGGAGAGGCCCUGAGUGUAUUACAUGGGGGUUUAACAUAGGUUUCAUGGCCUCCAGGGCAGUCUCAAAUGCUGACCCCACACACAUACUCUCAAGAGCUUGGCAUGUGCCCCUCUCCUGCCUGGAAUGGUGUGUCCAGUCUGCCUUUGUUUAGCAGAAACUUGUCAGUUCUCAAUCAAAGCAUUCACAGAGAGAUCACAGCCAUGGAGACUGUACAGCUGUGUAAUUUUUCCUAAAAACCUGCUCUUUUCUGGUGGGGAGUCAAUCAGUGUUCCCAGUGACAGCAGCCAAAGCCCAGGCUUUCCCAAUUUAAAUGCAAUCAGUAACAUGUUCUUGGACUGAUCCUAGAACCAGUGGCCAGGACACUUUCUGGGGACAGAUUCCAGAUGUCUAAACGCAGAUCUAACCAAACCAGAAACUCCNNNNNNNNNNNNNNNNNNNNNNNNNNNNNNNNNNNNNNNNNNNNNNNNNNNNNNNNNNNNNNNNNNNNNNNNNNNNNNNNNNNNNNNNNNNNNNNNNNNAUUCCAGAUGUCUAAACGCAGAUCUAACCAAACCAGAAACUCCUGCAGUCAUCAGAGUCAGGACUCUGUCAUCCCACCUUGACAGCUAAACCUCUGAACUCCCUUCUUGGCUGCAUCUCAUUAGUCAACAGAUCAUUAGUCAACUAUGCAGCAAAGAAAACGGCCUGGUGCAGCCAAGGUCCACUGAUAGAUGCUCCAAUUAGUGGGAGAAACUUCAGAGAAGCAGGAUAUUUGCAUAGCCUCAAAGGACCUCCCCCAGGAGACUUACUAAAUACUGUAAUGGUUUGCACAGAUGUAU